AGGUGCAUGUUUCGCGGGGAGUCCACGCUAAAACGGACGGUUGAGCCGGGCAGAAGCACCCCCUCGUGACUCAGCAGCAGCGGAAGACGGUUCGGCAGACGAAUGCCACCACUGGAGGCCAUUUUUGAGGUUUACUAGAAGUUGCUGAAGAGGCAGUGCAUGGUGUGGCUGAAGUUAUCCAGGAGGGACUUUGGAGAAGCAAGUCGCCAGCCAGACUUUGGCACACUGUCGGGUAUUUCUGUUAAACUAUCAAAAAUGUCCUGGAUCGCAUCUGGAAUCUCCUGCUGUAACACCUGCACACAGAAGAAAACACACAGCGCUGCAUUGAAAUGGAUUCAUGAUGUGUCAUAAAAGUUCCGUUUCUGCAGGUCUGGCUGGACCUCAAUUAAAUGAUGAAUCAGUCUUCAUCUUCAUAUAAUAAUGCAGCAUCACUGUGUUUUGGUAUAAAGGGACCAACGCAGACCAGAGGCAUAGUAACUUACAGUACUUCACUAUAUAUGAUGCAGCUCAGUCCAAAGUUUGUCAUGUAUUCAAAUGAUCUCAAUUCCUUAACUACUAAAAGUUACUGUACAAGCAGACUUAAAAGAAAGCCGCUAAAUUGUUCACAGCACAAUGCAUCUAUAAGUUAAAUAAACAAAAAUAACCAAAUAAAUAAAAAAUGAAAAUAUGUUG